GCCAGACUCCUACGGGAGGCAGCAGUGGGGGAUAUUGCACAAUGGGGGGAACCCUGAUGCAGCGACGCCGCGUGGGUGAAGGAGCGUUUCGGCGCGUAAAGCCCUAUCGGCAGGGAAGAAGGAGGACGGUACCUGACUAAGAAGCCCCGGCUAACUACGUGCCAGCAGCCGCGGUAAUACGUAGGGGGCAAGCGUUAUCCGGAUUUACUGGGUGUAAAGGGGGCGCAGACGGCAGCGCAAGCCAGGAGUGAAAGCCCGGGGCCCAACCCCGGGACUGCUCUUGGAACUGCGCGGCUGGAGUGCAGGAGGGGCAGGCGGAAUUCCUGGUGUAGCGGUGAAAUGCGUAGAUAUCAGGAGGAACACCGGUGGCGAAGGCGGCCUGCUGGACUGCGACUGACGUUGAGGCCCGAAAGCGUGGGGAGCAAACAGGAUUAGAUACCCCUGUACA
rnacentral:rRNA from 1 species